GCGGAGAGCCGGAUGGCCGCUGGCGCCGAAAGGUGCGAGAGGAAAGUCCGGACUCCCCAUGACAACGGUGCCGGGUAACGCCCGGGCAGGGCAACCUGACGGACAGCGCCACAGAAAACAAACCGCCCGCCGCACCCGAGGUUCGCCGAGGGAGAUUGCGCACGGGUCAGGAUGAAACGGUGGGGUAAGAGCCCACCGCGCCGCUGGCAACAGGGGUGGCACGGCAAGCCCCACCGGGAGCAAUGCCAAAUAGGACCUCCGCGCGGGCUGGUCCCCUCGGGGAUACCGCCGCUAGGCCGGUCAUGGCCAAGAGAGGUCGGGUUGGCAGCUGGACGCGCGUGGCGACACGCGCGCUAGAGGAAUGGUCAUCGACGGGGCCACGCCCCCGAACAGAAUCCGGCUUACAGGCUCUCCGCGCAU
rnacentral:RNase_P_RNA from 1 species